rnacentral:rRNA from 1 species
GACGAACGCUGGCGGCGUGCUUAACACAUGCAAGUCGAACGGAAAGGCCCUGCUUUUGUGGGGUGCUCGAGUGGCGAACGGGUGAGUAACACGUGAGUAACCUGCCCUUGACUUUGGGAUAACUUCAGGAAACUGGGGCUAAUACCGGAUAGGAGCUCCUGCUGCAUGGUGGGGGUUGGAAAGUUUCGGCGGUUGGGGAUGGACUCGCGGCUUAUCAGCUUGUUGGUGGGGUAGUGGCUUACCAAGGCUUUGACGGGUAGCCGGCCUGAGAGGGUGACCGGCCACAUGGGGACGGGGAUACGGCCCAGACUCCUACGGGGGGCAGCAGUGGGGAAUAUUGAACAAUGGGCGGAAGCCUGAUGCAGAAACGCCGCGUGCGGGAUGACGGCCUUCGGGUUGUAAACCGCUUUCGCCUGUGACGAAGCGUGAUGGACGGUAAUGGGUAAAGAAGCACCGGCGACCUACGU